UUUCACGCCGUCAUACGUAGCCCUGACAAUAGCUAUUAGUUUCUCCUGAAUGCUCCUCUUGCGUUGAGCAUUCCAAAUACACUCCCUGUACACGUUGCCAAACACCUCGAAACCGAUGAAUCGUGAAGCCAAUCUGACAUUUCUUGCCGAAAAGUGGCCAAAUUUACAUUGAAUGGAAAUAGAUCGAGGCAGUGGUAAUAUCUAAGAAUAAAUGUGAAGUUUAUCGACCUCUUGCAAAUCCUAAUUGCUUGUUUCCUGUGUCACUUAAUGACAAAUCUGGAGCUGAUAUUGAAAGUGGCAAUGAUUUGCACAUCGAACACGGAAUGUAAGUGCACCAUGGAAACUGCAAGGCACGAAAAAAACAACUUUUACCUACUAUAACUUUGUUAAUAAUAAUAGGAUUCCACAAAACCUUGUAGUAUAUGUCAAAUUAAAAUUAAAUCUCUUUGUAAUGUUUAGUCACGAUAAUCACAAAAAUAGAGGCUAGCUAACUAGAUUCUAAUUAGAAUUAGGUAAUACUAUAUAAGUUAUGUCCAAAAUGUACGUAAUUGACAAUGUUGGCAUUGUUUAAUAAAUGAAUUUUACUGCA